rnacentral:rRNA from 1 species
AAUGAACGCUGGCGGCAGGCCUAACACAUGCAAGUCGAACGGAUCCUUCGGGAUUAGUGGCGGACGGGUAAGUAACGCGUGGGAACAUACCCAAAGGUACGGAAUAGCCUCGGGACACUGGGAGUAAUACCGUAUGUGCUCGAAAGAGGGAAGAGUUAUCGCCUUUGGAUUGGCCCGCGUUGGAUUAGGUAGUUGGUGGGGUAAUGGCCUACCAAGCCGACGAUCCAUAGCUGGUUUGAGAGGAUGAUCAGCCACACUGGGACUGAGACACGGCCCAGACUCCUACGGGAGGCAGCAGUGGGGAAUCUUAGACAAUGGGGGAAACCCUGAUCUAGCCAUGCCGCGUGAUCGAUGAAGGCCUUAGGGUUGUAAAGAUCUUUCAGGUGGGAAGAUAAUGACUGUACCACCAGAAGAAGCCCCGGCUAACUCCGUGCCAGCAGCCGCAGUAA